rnacentral:rRNA from 1 species
CCUACGGGUGACAGCAGUCGAGAAUCAUUCACAAUGGGGGAAACCCUGAUGGUGCGCCGCCGCGUGGGGGAAUGAAGGUCUUCGGAUUGAAAACCCCUGUCAUGGGGGAGCAAAUUAAAAGGAAAGUACAACAAGAGGAAGAGACGGCUAACCCUGUGCCAGCAGCGGCGGUAAUACAGAGGUCUCAAGCGUUGUUCGGAAUCACUGGGCGUAAAGCGUGCGUAGGCUGUUUCGUAAGUCGUGUGUGAAAGGCGCGGGCUCAACCCGCGGACGGCACAUGAUACUGCGAGACUAGAGUAAUGGAGGGGGAACCGGAAUUCUCGGUGUAGCAGUGAAAUGCGUAGAUAUCGAGAGGAACACUCGUGGCGAAGGCGGGUUCCUGGACAUCAACUGACGCUGAGGCACGAAGGCCAGGGGAGCGAAAGGGAUUAGAUACCCCUGUAGUC